rnacentral:lncRNA from 1 species
AGUAAAAAAUCAAAAUGAUAAAGUCAUACAAAAUAGGACUACGAUAAUCUGUGCCUAGAACUAGAAAAUUCUUUGUAUUUUGCCUAAUUCAAAGUUUUUUAAACAGUGUUUAUAAAAAAAAUAUCAUUGAUAUUUCAUGCCAAUAAAGAAAUAUAAGCCAACAUUGUGCCAACAAUAUGCCAACGUAUUAGGUACUUAUCUCCCC